rnacentral:sRNA from 1 species
GGCUUGCCAGGAGCUGGAGCGGGAGGUAGGCGGGGCGGCGCGUGACCUAAGGCCUCUCUGCCGCGCGCGCAGGUACGGGGCCGAAGUCGCAGGUACCCAGCUGCUGCCCACCUUUUUGGUCCAGAGUCCCGAACCCCGAGCACUGGGAUGCCUGGCUACUCCGAGCGUUAUCCAGACUAGCGAGUGGGAGGCAGAUGUAAAAUCUGGAACGCAGAUUUUAGUUUGUUGGAAGGAGAAAUGUAACAUAGUGAACCACGUAUCUCUGGAGGGUGUAAAGCAGAGACAGCCAAGAGCCAAGGCACUGAUGUUUGAACUGGAAACUUCAAAACUUUUAAUAAGAGUCUUCAGGAUGGGUUUGAACUAGACAAGCUAGAAAUUUCUUUAGAACACCAGCUCUAGCAUACAUCUCCCACUUUUGGCUUUCCUGGACAGGAGCUUGAAGAGGUGGUUCUGCAGACAGCCACAGUGAUACUCAGGAAACCAGAGGAAUGGAUUUGACUUUUCUACUAGGAUUCUCUGUUAUAGUUUCUCCCUGAGUUGUAAGAGGCAUGGAAAUAUACAUGAAACUGAAGAACCUGCAAGGAAGGGAAGUGGAACUUUCCAUGCUGAGUGAAAACUAACCAAGUGGCGGUUGUGACUGAAAACACUGAAACCCACCACGUCCAGAUUCACUGGAUUGGGGGAUAGAGGAACGGUC